rnacentral:rRNA from 1 species
UAUGGUUCCUUAGAUCGUUUCUUCCUACUUGGAUAACUGUGGCAAUUCUAGAGCUAAUACAUGCAGUGAGCCUGAAGCCCUUUGGGCGACGGGUGCUUUUAUUAGACCAAGAUCGAUCGGGUUUCGGCCCGUAUUGUGUGGUGACUCUGGAUAACUUUGUGCUGAUCGCAUGGCCACGAGCCGGCGACGUUUCUUUCAAGUGUCUGCCUUAUCAACUUUCGAUGGUAGGUUACUUGCUUACCAUGGUUGUUACGGGUAACGGAGAAUCAGGGUUCGAUUCCGGAGAGGGAGCCUGAGAAACGGCUACCACAUCCAAGGAAGGCAGCAGGCGCGCAAAUUACCCACUCCCGGCACGGGGAGGUAGUGACGAAAAAUAACAAUACGGGACUCUUUUGAGGCCCCGUAAUUGAAAUGAGUACACUCUAAAUCCUUUAACGAGGAUCAAUUGGAGGGCAAGUCUGGUGCCAGCAGCCGCGGUAAUUCCAGCUCCAAUAGCGUAUACUAAAGCUGCUGCGGUUAAAAAGCUCGUAGUUGGAUCUCAGUUCCAGACGAGUAGUGCAUCUACCCGAUGCGACGGCUCGGACUGAACAUCAUGCCGGUCCUUUCUUGGUGCACUUCAUUGUGUGCCUCGAGAAGGCCGGUGCUUUUACUUUGAAAAAAUUAGAGUGCUCAACGCAGGCGAGUCGCCUGAAUAAACUUGCAUGGAAUAAUAGAACAAGACCUCGUUUCUGUUCUGUUGGUUUUUGGAAUACGAGGUAAUGAUUAAGAGGGACAGACGGGGGCAU